UACGUAGGGUGCAAGCGUUAAUCGGAAUUACUGGGCGUAAAGCGUGCGCAGGCGGUUGUGUAAGCCAGAUGUGAAAUCCCCGGGCUUAACCUGGGAAUGGCAUUUGGGACUGCAAGGCUGGAGUGUGGCAGAGGAGACUGGAAUUCCUGGUGUAGCAGUGAAAUGACGCAGAUAUCAGGAGGAACACCGGUGGCGAAGGCGGUGGUCUGGGCCGGCACUGACGCUGAGGAGCGAAAGCGUGGGGAGCAAACAGG
rnacentral:rRNA from 1 species